UACGUAGGGGGCAAGCGUUGUCCGGAUUUAUUGGGCGUAAAGAGCUCGUAGGUGGUUCGGUAAGUCGGAUGUGAAAUCUCCAGGCUCAACCUGGAGGGGUCAUUCGAUACUGCCGUGACUAGAGGUCGGUAGGGGAGUGUGGAAUUCCUGGUGGAGCGGUGAAAUGCGCAGAUAUCAGGAGGAACACCCGUCGCGAAGGCGGCGCUCUGGGCCGGUACUGACGCUGAGGAGCGAAAGCGUGGGGAGCAAACAGG
rnacentral:rRNA from 1 species